rnacentral:rRNA from 1 species
GAGUUUGAUCUUGGCUCAGAUUGAACGCUGGCGGCAUGCCUUACACAUGCAAGUCGAACGGCAGCAUGAUCUAGCUUGCUAGAUUGAUGGCGAGUGGCGAACGGGUGAGUAAUACAUCGGAACGUGCCCUGUAGUGGGGAUAACUAGUCGAAAGAUUAGCUAAUACCGCAUACGACCUGAGGGUGAAAGUGGGGGACCGCAAGGCCUCAUGCUAUAGGAGCGGCCGAUGUCUGAUUAGCUAGUUGGUGGGUAAAGGCCCACCAAGGCGACGAUCAGUAGCUGGUCUGAGAGGACGAUCAGCCACACUGGGACUGAGACACGGCCCAGACUCCUACGGGAGGCAGCAGUGGGAUUUGGACAAUGGCGAAAGCCUGAUCCAGCAAUGCCGCGUGUGUGAGAAGGCCU